GAUCAAUUAGUUAUUUUCUCAGGAGGCAAACAGAAGAAAAACACCACUGUUCUCCAGUUAACUACCACACAUCAGUCUAUGUCCUCUUGCGUCAGCUGGCGUCGCUCAGACAUCUUCAGUCCUUCGGGGCUGGUCCAGCAUGCUCCAUUCCUGUUUCCAGUCCUUCUUCUUCUUCUGUGUGCUGACAGGACCACCUGGUGCUGCUGCUGGUUGCCAGAUUUUGGAUUAUCCUGCAUAACAAUGGGCUAAAGGACUGUUUGGAUCAGUUCCACUCUCGAGCUGCCAGGGACCGCUCUGCCUCUUGCUCUUCAGUGACAGUGGCUGUCCUCCCUACCGUGCACACAUGGAUGCAUGGCCACCGUGGGAUGAUACCCCCCACCCCCUACCCCACCGCCAUCAUCCACCCAACCACACACGCACAUACACAUAAACACACACACACAUUCAAAAGGUUAAUUAAUGUGUCCAUGUGUUUAUGGCCAUCCAGCAGUCUACAAGGGAGUCUGUGAGAGAUUUGUGUACACAUAAAAAAUAUGCACUAACGUUGCUAAGCUCACACAUGACACCAUUUGCACACUUGACAAGAGCGCUGAGAGACACAGGUGAUUUCAUGCGAUAGAAAUAAUAAAAUGAAAAAAAAAAGCUGGCAAUAAAACCUGUCCUAAAAUAAUAAAAGCCUAAUUUCACUACUGUGUUGUCUAAAUAAGUGAAUGCAAAUAUGCCUGUGACUGUUUCUGUGCAAAUAUGGGUGCUGUUUUUGUAUAAAAAAUUAAACAAACUGGAUUUGA
ensembl:lncRNA